CUUACUCUCCAACAGAAAGAGAAUAGCAAUAUGUCUCUAACCCAGAUGUGUUUUGUUCUUUUUUUUCUUUGUGUACUUCACUAUUUAUUUACUUCCCUGAUCCUGGAACAAUUAAUAAUACUCCUUUGCUCCUUCUCUAACAAGUUUUAGUUUUUAAAAAACCCUUUUGUACAAAACACCGUACCUCUUUAGUUAUUUGAAAGUACUUGCUUAUGAAGAUAGCUGUUCCUGAAACUAUAUUUAAUAGCCACAUUUCUCUUUGUUGUUUUCCCCAGAAUGUUUGGGAAGAGACAUUUGGCCAGAGAGAGAAACAAAAAUCACCCUUUGUUAGACCGGGAGAAAGAAUUGGAAGCAUUCCGAAUGGCACAGCAAGGGUGUUUGUACCAGAAGAAGGGACAAGCAGUUUUGUAUGGAGGUGAAAAGGGCUAUGGAAAAAGCCAGCUAUUGGCUGAAAUAAACUUCUUGGCCCAGAAAGAGGGGCAUAGGUAAAGACUCCUGCUUUCUGACUUAGUCAGAGCCUACUUCUCUUGGGGCUUCUUUCCCUUGUUGGUGAGACUCUUGUGUCACUAGAUUCAGCACCCUUGGACUGGUGGACUGUGUGUGGUACAGGGGACUCCCAGUGAUCAUAGUAAUGUUCACCAGGGUGUUGCCAUUGAAACUGAAAGAAGCAGAUUCCAAGCGGUGCUUCUAUGCCAUCCAGACCCUCAUGGCUAUCUUCUUUGAGAUUGAUACAUGCCCAGCCUAUUACCGGCAAGAGUGCCUACAAAGACAGCUUCGGCAGAUGAUGAAGGAACCACUUCACUGCCUUUUCAAUGACCUCUUCUUUGUGAAGUUUCCCUUGUCCUUAGAAGUUUCACGCAUGGAUGACCUGGUCAGACAAAAGAAGGUUAAAGCGUUUUUUAUUCAAGUGCUUCAGGAGGUGGGUAGUUUUACUACAUACCAUUAUCUCUUAAUAUGUGGAGAUAGUUUAUGCUCAUUUUAAUCUAUCCACAUCACACCUUGAUGUAGGCAUUUUUUGGCCUGCCUAUUUGUUGAUGUAUUCAUUAUUUAUUGUCUAUCUUUAACCUUGGAUUCAUCCUACAGCACAGCAUACAAGAAAAGGUCUUGGCUUUUCCCUGAUCCUGUUUCUUAAUGAAAUUUUAGUAACUUAAUUUAAAACAGUGUUUUCUAAAUGCAGGUGGAUUGCUAUUUUAUCUACUGUUGAUGAAAAAUACAGAUACUCAGGCUCUACCCCAGGAUCACAGAAUCAAAAAUCUGUAUAAGCAGAAACUCACGUAGCCAUUCGGGAAAGCAAUCUAAAAGUAACUAGUCAAAUUUUAAUAACAUGCAUCUUCUAGACCCAGCAAGCCCACUCCUGGGUAUAUAUAUCCCAAAGAGUAUGUUCAUUUUAGUGUGUGUUUGUGGAGGCCAGGGAGGUGUUGGCAGGAUGCAUGGAUGAACAAGAUUGAAUAAAAUGCAGAAAUUAGGAGUAAGGGAAUAGAUGAAACUAUAGCAAUAUGGAGUAAUCUCAAAACAGUCCUGAAUAAAACAAAAGAGAAAAAUAAUGAGAUCUAUAAUAAAUAGCAUUUACAUAAAAGCAAUUUACUUGAAAAAACAAUAAUGCACAUUUUAUAAGAACAUGAUACAAACAAAAAGCUGCACAAUAAGCACAUUAGAAUGGUCACUGGAGUCAGUGGGGAAUGGAAUGGGAGUGGGAAAUCUGUAUAAAAGUGAAUACAUUUUUAAAGUCUACUUGAGUGGCACCUGAUAGUUGGUAGUGUUGGCAAGCACUCCCAGGUGAUUCUGAUGUGCAGCCUAGUUUGGAAAUUGCUGUUUUAGAGUAUUAUGAAUUCCCACACAGGAUGAAGCCUUUGCCAAAAUGAAAUAUUUGAAAGCUUUAAGUUCAAAAUAUUUGGAAAAUAUUUUGGUGCUUAUUUCAUUUUUCAGUUAGAGUAUUUUUCUUAUCCACAGAAACUCGGUACAUUGCUUUAAGAAUUAAAUAUAUAGGCAGUAUUUUUUUAUUUGUAAAGUAAAAUAUCACCUGGACUGAGAAUACAAUUACUCUGAAAACUCCAGCCUAUGUUGACAUUUUAUUUAAAUUAUUGAUGGCAAUUUGUGGUAGAUUUGAAAACUAGGUGACUCCAUUUCUAAUCAGAGAUUGUUGUUGUUUUCUUUGCUGUUAUUUACAGGCAGUGAGGGAAACACCACUGAUUUUCCUCAUUGAUGAGGCCCAGUAUAUGGAUGCAGCUUCCUGGGAGUUUUUAGGAACGUUGCUCUCCAGUGUGCCCAUCAUCAUGGUGAUGACGUUGACCUCUACCUUCACACUGUGUGGCUGGGCCCAGCACUUCCUGCAGAGCCCGCAGGCUGUUUUUGUGUCCAUUUCGAAGUUGGCAACAACCUCAUUGUUGAGAAUGGCAUGUUGGGAACUAGGGGUGGUGAGCAUCCCCCCAGAGCUGCAGACGUGAGUGGUAGGACCAGCUGGGCAUUUCAUUAAGGGAGGAGCCAGUACCAUAAUAAAAGUCAUAAGGCUCAGGUCUUACUUUCUGGAGUUGGGGGAGAGAAUGGCAUUAGAAAGUGAUGAGGCCCAAGACUAGAUUUAAAGGAGACGGUCUACUUGUAAACUAGUAAGGGGCUACCAACCUGGGCUAUCCACCAAGGUUAUCACAAGACAGUUCGGAUUUGGAUGGCUUGCUUAAUGUGUCAAUUUUAUGUGAUCAGGCCGGUUUCUGACUUUAGUGAGGGGAUGUUGGUUCCUUUUAACAUCAGUAGAAGUAAAAUAGUUGAGAAAGAAAAAUUACUGCCAAAAUGCAUUUCAAAGCCAAUCAGAAAUAAAUUUUUUACAUUUCUAUGCUGCUGCUUCCCUCUGUUAGUAUAUCAUCAAGAGCUAACUUUAAUAAGAGAAGGUUCCUCAGCAUGAAGUACCCUUAUGCUUGGCUCCCCUCAAGUGGGCAUCAUUUUUUUUUUUUUUUUUUUUUUAUUGAGACAGAGUCUCACUCUGUUGCCUGGGCUAGAGUGCCAUAGCAUCAGCCUAGCUCACAGCAACCUCUAACUCCUGGG
ensembl:lincRNA